rnacentral:ncRNA from 1 species
GCGGUUUGCCCUCACGGGUGAUUAAAAGGGAAUCGGGUGCAAAUCCCGGACAGUCCCGCUGCUGUAAGGCUGCGUCGCGCGAGCGACACUCCGCCACACAAUGCCACUGCAAGCGCAAACCUGCGGGAAGGCGUGGUAGGAGGAUGCCGAGUCAGAAGACCUGCCGACGACA